rnacentral:miRNA from 1 species
CACGAAACGUUUGUUCGCCACCACAGGCCACAGCAACCUAACUAAGUACAUUAUAUUUAUUGUAUAUUUGUGAUUAUGAUAAAAGCAAUAAAUAUUUGCGUAUUUUUAUCAUCAAUUAUAAAAAUACAAAAAUAUAAUACAUUUAGUUAGGUUGCUGUGGUGGCGAACAAACGUUUCGUG